rnacentral:rRNA from 1 species
GACGAACGCUGGCGGCGUGCCUAACACAUGCAAGUCGAACGGAGUUAAGACUUCGGUUUUAACUUAGUGGCGAACGGGUGAGUAACGCGUGAGAAACCUGCCUUUCAGUGGGGGACAACAGUUAGAAAUGACUGCUAAUACCGCAUAAUGUUAUUUGGGGGCAUCCCUGAAUAACCAAAGCUUUAUGUGCUGAAAGAUGGUCUCGCGUCUGAUUAGCUAGAUGGCGGGUAAGGCCCACCAUGGCGACGAUCAGUAGCCGGUCUGAGAGGAUGAACGGCCACAUUGGGACUGAGAUACGGCCCAGACUCCUACGGGAGGCAGCAGUGGGGAA